CCUACGGGAGGCAGCAGUGAGGAAUAUUGGUCAAUGGACGAGAGUCUGAACCAGCCAAGUAGCGUGAAGGAUGACUGCCCUAUGGGUUGUAAACUUCUUUUAUAUGGGAAUAAAAUGUUCCACGUGUGGGAUUUUGUAUGUACCAUAUGAAUAAGGAUCGGCUAACUCCGUGCCAGCAGCCGCGGUAAUACGGAGGAUCCGAGCGUUAUCCGGAUUUAUUGGGUUUAAAGGGAGCGUAGGUGGAUUGUUAAGUCAGUUGUGAAAGUUUGCGGCUCAACCGUAAAAUUGCAGUUGAAACUGGCAGUCUUGAGUACAGUAGAGGUGGGCGGAAUUCGUGGUGUAGCGGUGAAAUGCUUAGAUAUCACGAAGAACUCCGAUUGCGAAGGCAGUUCACUGGACUGAAACUAACACUGAGGCUCGAAAGUGUGGGUAUCAAACAGGAUUAGAUACCCCAGUAGUC
rnacentral:rRNA from 1 species